CCUGGUUUGGCUCAAUAGAUAGAGCGUCAGUCUGCGGACUGAAGGGUCUCAGGUUCGAUUCCUGUCAAGGG
rnacentral:tRNA from 1 species